AAAAGAACUUUGAAGAGAGAGUUCAACAGUACGUGAAACCGCCUAGAGGUAAACGGGUGGAUCCGCAAAGUCGGUCCGCGAAAUUCAGCUCGGAAGGCUGGUCGCAGGCGGUAGGUCGAGAUCUCUUGCGGACUCUCCUGCCGCUUGUACGCUGGCUCGACGUGUGCACUUUUCGCGGGCAGAGCGCCACGACCGGUUUUUGGGCAGUCAGAAGGCGACGAGGAAGGUAAGUGGGCGCUUCGGCGUUUACCGUUAUAGCCUCGCCUGUCCCGAUCUGCUCGAAGACCGAGGAGCCGCCGCUUGGCAAACGGGCUAUCCUGCUCUCCUCGGGGGUUCGACAGGCAGAGACUGGGAGACCGUGUCUGCCGACCGCCUCUGCGGACGGAUGGGGGUGCUGUUAGUCCCGCCAAGCAUAGGGUCGGUGGCGAAUCGGUCGGCACUCCACCCGACCCGUCUUGAAA
rnacentral:rRNA from 1 species